UGUGUGUGUGUGUGUGUGUGUGUGUGUGUGUGUGUUGAGCUCCAAGAUAUAGUUUCCUUCAAUCUGGGCAGAAUUUUAAAGCUUAGCUAUAUUUUGCCUUUGCCUUUCAUUCCUUCAUUCCCACUUUUUCUUCCCCCAUUCCAUAUUAUGGACAUUGUUGUAUUUCAGUGUGCAGAACAGAAGAGGAUAAAUCACUUUGAUGGCAGUCGCGUCCUGCAUCCCAAAAAUCUGAAGGGGCACAAAGUACUGUGGGCUGUGGGGGAGUGCAGGGAGGAGCUAUGCCCACACAUCUGAGCGCUGGCCCCUUGCAGGCUUAUCUGCCUCAAGGAUAUUACUCUACUUUAGAUGUCACCCUGGGUCUGAGGUAAUACUGAUCCAUAUCACCCUCUUCUCCUUUUUUUACCCAGGCAAAAACAUAACUGUUUCAACUUUGACCUGGACAUGUAUUAUUAUGUGUAGAUUUACUUUCUUCAGUGUAUUGAUUCAAUGUGAGAAGCCAUUAGCAGCAGGGACCACUGAGUUAGGCUACAUGUAUGUCCUCUUUAAAUCAGUCCCAGAAACAUUUGUUAUCUUCAAAUCUGUUUGAGCCAAAUAUCACCUCUGUCAAAUUGAAAUGUAGUCCUCCGGGCUGUUCUCAUAUUAAAGUCAUGUAUCACAGUUUCCAGUUGCACAGUUAUUAUACUUUGUCAGUGCUAAACAUGUAAUUGUUCUUCAGAGCAGAUUGCUCCUGAACAUUUCCUGUCAAUACUAAUAAGAGAUAAAUUGUUCCAUUUCAUAUUUUAUUCAUGCCCCGGUUUGUAGAACAUUAUUCUAAAUGUUUUUGUUUUUACUGUGGUUAAUUAUACCCUGUCUUGAGUUCAUGUCAACAACAUCUAAAGGUAAUAAUGAGGAAUAGAAGCCAUUUGUGAGUCAUUACACACUGCAGUUUGCUCGCCUCUUAUUUUUGUGUAGAGUAAUUAUUGUAUUUUCAAAUGGAUUACAUCCACAUAUUUAGUUCCCACUUUCUCUAUUAUCUCUUGGUUAAAGCCACUGAAGCGGGUCUAGCUCCAUCUGUUGUGGUUUGUCAUAGUUACUGUCUGUAUGGGAUGUGUUACUUAAAAGGGUCUACUUCCUCUUUCUUAUGUUUUACACACCCUCCUUUACAAUGGACAGUACAUCUUCAUAAUGUGGCCUGUGUGCUGUGUUUUAUUUCUACUGCUGUUCAAGUUGAAUACUACAUAUAUAUCUUUGCUGGCAUGAAUUUAUGAGUGAAAUAAAAAAAUACCUUUUAGGUUGUGAGCAUAUUGUAGUUUCAUUUUAAUGCUGACUCCACUGAAGCAGCCACUCAUUGACAUUUUCAAUACUUUUUUAUUUUUAUUUUUUACAAAUGGCUGAAUGAGGCUUUAAAUGCAGCUGAUAUUUGAAUCUUGGUGCCAUACGUAAACAGACGUGGCCCAGAUUCCUUUGGUUUUUUGAUAUGACAGUAAGGUAUAAAGAUUUUAUAAGUUACUAUCCUAAGAUUAUGCAAGCCAAUUUUACUCCCAUUGACAAUCUCUUUAAACCUGAGGAAAAUGGCCUUUUGCUGACAAAUACAUUUUUAAGUGGUUGUAUUAAGGUGUGGGGUUACAGUUUUGCUUUGAAAUAAGAACAGCACCAUAGCUAUAACACAUUUCAUUCGGUGUGACAGUAUAAAAUAUAUCAGGAAGCUCUAUGCUUGGCUGGGCUGUGUUGGUUGCCAGGUGCCAGUAUGUCAUCAUUUCCUCUCAGGGCCAGUCUUAAUUAGACAACAGAAACACUGCAGGCUGCUGCCAAUGGGGACUGAGUUCCCUCCAAACCCACAGAACAUUGUUCAUACUCUUCCCAGCACCAUACAUUCCUAUGGGGUCUGUAUGAGUGAGCAUGUGUGUAUUUGGAGGAGGCGUGGAUGGGGAGAUGUCACAUUUCAGUGUGUGUGUGUGUUGAGUGUGUGUUCCCUGUCUACAGUAUGUGUGCACACGUAGAUGUGUGAUGGGCAGUGUCAUUGUGUCAGUGUCCUUGUUAUUGUUUCUGUGUGUGUAUGUACGUGCAUGUGUGUGUCACACUGUAUGUGUUUGAGUGCGAUGUGUCCAGUGUACUCCACUGCAGAUGUAAACAGAAGUGACAUGCCUAUGGUAUAUUUACGGGUCCUUGCCCUUUGUCUCCCCAACUCUCUCUAAACUACCUUAUUCUCUACCUCUGAUUUUAGCAACAGCUCACUUUUGACAUAUGCGCUCCUUGUUCACAGACACAUUCCAUGCAGAAUGAAACUAUUUAAUGCAUAGCCACUUCUGUAUGUUCUCCCAGUUUGGGUUUUUAGGUCUUCAGAGUGCUGCAUGGCAGAAGUUUUUAGGUCAGUGCUCUUCUACUUUCUGCACUGCUCAGACUCUGGGGAUUCAGAAAUCACCGAUGGGAGCUGUGCUGCUGUCAAGCAAAGCCUCUUUCAGGUUGUCACAGGCUGCAAAGGAGUCCGGUUUGUACAUCAAUGUCCUGUUCUUUACUGCUGAGACUCAGUAAAGCCCCCCAAGACAGUGUAUGUCCUGAGUCUCAACGUUUGUGUACCAUCCAUGUAGGCCUACUGAUUUAUCUUAUUCUUUAUCGCUGGCAACAUUGAUGUGAUGUAAAUGCUGAGUACUCAGAUACAUUAAUAUUACAGAGGGUAUUGACUAAAUACAGUAUAUGUGUUGUAAUGAUUGUCAGAUUUUUCUCUCAGGCAUUUAGACCAAGAAAUGAAUUACCCCAGUAGGCCAAUCGAAAUUGAAAUGUAAUUACAUUUAGGUAAUUAUUUAAUAUUUAAUUUGAUAUUUACAAGGAAAUUCAUUUGUCCACAUUAAGCCAACAUAAUGCAAAUCAUUGGUGUAUUUAUGCUCAGUGUUUUAGUACUAGGCACAUCCCCUGCAUGUCACUGUCAGUAAUUGAGUGCAUUGAUUCAAGGAAAAUUAAAAACUGCCUGAUUAUUUCACGACAAAUUGAUGAGAACAGCAGCAAGUCAAUGUAUCCAUUUCCAAAUCCAAAUCGAAUUGGAAUUUGGAGUACAUCUGUGACUGCUAUCUCAGGCAGGCAGGCUUGCAGGCAUAGUCAGUGUGGCUGGUUUGGCCAAGCCAGCUAAGAACAGCUUGUUAUCUGUGUCUCAUAAUGAGAAGAAUCAAACAUAUUCCUCUACUUCUGUGGGUCUCCCUUCUAGAAUACAUUGUCAAUGUUUAGUUGUGUUCUCCAACUGAAACACUCUCAGCUUUUGAAGCUCCAUUCGUCAUCAGCGCGCACCAAUCCGCUUAACAAUGUGUGUCUGGGUGAUGUUUCCAUGGAAACUGUGUUUACUGCCCGGCUGAGGUCUAAAAAUGGUACCAAAGUGAUAACCGAGCCAGGCCUGUAAGUGGGGUGUACUGAGAGUGGGACAAUGUAACAGGUGGAUCCACAUGAAUGCACACAAACCAAUGAUUGUAUUUGUCUUUGUUAGGUUUUACCUUUAUAAGUUGUAACAUUUCUCCUUUAAAUAAGAUGAGAACUGAUUAUCAAUGUUUAGUUGUGAUCUCCAACUGAAACACUCUCAGCUUUUGAAGCUCCAUUCGUCAUCAGCGUGCACCCUUCUGCUUAACAAUGUGUGUCUGGGUGAUGUUUCCAUGGAAACUGUGUUGAUAAAAAAGGUGAUGAUCAAACAUCAGGUUUUAUUUGUGAAGAUAAGGUAAAUCAACUAAUUAGGGAGAGCAUUGUAUUCGGCAUUGCAACUGAAGGAAGUGAAUACUUAUUAUAGUAGAACUGGAUGUCUUCUGUGUCUGUAUUACUCCUGUGACCAUGGUUAUUGUAACUGGCAGAUUUAAAAGGGAGGGGUGCUGAGUAGUGAGAGCUGGUGAGUGCCAAUUUCGAUAGAAGCAAAUUAGAAAUUAAAGUUGACCUUGUGGCCAUACUGUAUUAGUGUGGAGAGCCAAUUGUAGCAUUAAAAGGCUAAUGAAUGCCAUUAUUUCCCUUCCCCACAAUGUGGAUUUCACUGGCACGUUGCCCAAACCUGGACACCAUGAGAUAGAUUGCCUUUUUAAAUUACUCUUACCAAGGGGCACCUUUGUCAUUAUAAUUGCUUAAUUUCCUCCAAUUGUAUCCAUCCCCUAACUUACAACAUAUUGUAGCAGCAGUGGUUUGUGCAACCUUGAGUAAGAGUUAGUGUUAUGUUGUUUUAUACCAAUAAAUGUUCAUCUUGUUCACUGCCAGUUCUGAAGCCAUUUCAAGGCUAACAUACAUGCAAAUGCAAUAUAAGAGCUGUUUUAGUCAUUCCAUUAUGAACCUAAUCCAUUUCGUUUUCCUUGUGUCAGAAGUGGGUUUGCACAACCUCGACCAGAUGGAUGGGCCAUUUUUACAUUAUAGACAUCAAAAAGUGGAGCAAAAGAUCCAGGAGAUGGUCACGACAGGGGUCAUCAGGCUAUCCAACGGCCCUUGGAUGGCCCCUGUAGUCCUUGUCAAGAAGAAGGACAGCUCAUGUUGCUCCUAUGUGGACUUCAGGCAGCUGAACUAUGUGACUAGGAAGAAUUCCUAUCCCCUCCCGCUCCCUCCAUCUCCUGAAAGCCAGGCUGAAGACUGCCUUCACAAUUGCAUUAGGUCUUUGUCUGUUCACUUUGAUUCCCUUUGGACUCUGCAACACUCUGUGCCUACCUUUGAGCACCUUAUGGAGCAAGUUAUGACCACAAUCCCCUGCAACAAGUGUGUUGUCUACCUGGAUGACCUCCUUGUGCACUCACCGGACUUCAAGGGUCCAUUCCCUUGAAGGGGCAAGCCACUUUGGGCACACAAAUACCAUCCACCGCCUCAGAGAGAAUUCUUACUGGGCUGGAGUGGUAUGUGUAUGCCUGCGAAACCUGUAUUGGCCACAAAGGCCCAACUGGACACUCCCAUGCCCCAUUACAGCAAUACCAGGUGUGGGUCCCCAUCAAGCGGGUCCUUUCCCCAAGACUGAGGCGGGCAACCGGUUCGUAUUGUAGCCAUGGACUGCAUUACCGUGGCCAGAGGCCAAUGUAGUUCCCGACCAGUCCACCACAACUACUGCCAACAAGCUGGUGAAGGGGAUGUUUUGCCGGUUUGGAGUACUGGAAGAUGUCCACAGUGAUCAGACGAGAAAUGUUGACAAUAAGGUGUUAAAGACAGUCUGUAUGGAACUGGUGGUGCGCAGGACGAGAACCAGCCCCCUGUUCUUUAAAGCAAAAGGCUGGUCGAACGGUCUAAUCAGACUUUGGCGAUACAUCUGGCUACGCUCACCUCAAACCACCAGAAGGACUGGGACAAACAUCUGUCAUUGGUCUAUUGGGCUUACCGGUCAGCAGUACAAGAGUCCACUGGCUGCACCCCAGCGGCGCUGAUGUUAGGCAGAUAACUAAACACUACAGUGGACUUUUCCUUUGGAAUACCACCUCAACCUUACAGUAAGCAGUGCUUGGAUACAGGCCAUAACUUCGUACGGUGUCGCUUGAUGGAAUGCAUGGUCAAACUUACGCUGUGAGGUCCAGGGACUUGGCCUCUCACUAUGACUCAUCGGAAGGUAUCAAUCAAUCACAUUUAUUUCAUAAAGCCCUUUAUACAUAAGCAUUGCUAUACAUAUACCCAGCCUAAAACCCCCAAAAGGAAGCAAUGCAGAUGUAGAAGGACAGUGUUAGGUGUAGAAGAACAGUGUUAAGUGUAGAAGGACAGUGUUAAGUGUAGAAGAACAGUGUUAGGUGUAGAAGGACAGUGUUAGGUGUAGAAGCAGAGUGUUAGGUGUAGAAGGACAGUGUUAAGUGUAGAAGAACAGUGUUAGGUGUAGAAGGACAUUGUUAGGUGUAGAAGGACAGUGUUAGGUGUAGAAGGACAGUGUUAGGUGUAGAAGAACAGUGUUAGGUGUAGAAGGGGACAGUGUUAGGUGUAGGACAGUGUUAAGUGUAGAAGAACAGUGUUAUGUGUAGAAGAACAGUGUUAUGUGUAGAAGAACAGUGUUAGGUGUAGAAGAACAGUGUUAGGUUUAGAAGGACAGUGUUAGGUGUAGAAGCAGAGUGUUAGGUAUAGAAGGACAGUGUUAGGUGUAGAAGGACAGUGUUAGGUGUAGAAGAACAGUGUUAGGUGUAGAAGGGGACAGUGUUAGGUGUAGAAGAACAGUGUUAGGUGAAGAAGGACAGUGUUAGGUGUAGAAGAACAGUGUUAGGUGUAGAAGAACAGUGUUAGGUGUAGAAGGACAGUGUUAGGUGAAGAAGCAGUGUUAGGUAAGGAGACAUGUGAAAUGAGUUCACAUUGAACAAAAAUCUAUACUCUAUCUAGCCUACCAGGUCUGACAACAUCCUCCCUGUCUCCAUGACAACAUGUUUGUAGAAAAUAAAACAAAUAUCCCACUGGGCACAGACGUCAGUUCAACGUCUAGUUUUGAUUUACAUUUGGUUGAGUUGUCAAAUACAGUGAAUUCAACGUGAAAUCAACAAAUCAUUUUACCAUGUCAUUUGAUUUAGGUUAAAAGUUUGGUGAAAGAAAGAUGUAAUUCCCUUACGUUGAUUACUUUUUUCAAAUCCAAUCAGUUUACCAUGUUGAUUAAACGUCAUCACAUUGAAUUUGUUGGUUGAAAUGACGUGGAAACAACGUUGAUUCAACUAGUUUUUGCUCAGUCGGAUGAUGCCCAGAGAGAGACUCACAUGGUGUUGGUGCAGGGCUGACUCUGCUCAUUUUUCUGUCACAUCAAUAAAAUGCUUUUUAGCAAACUGACAGCCACAAGUACAUACAGUACUGUACUGAAGCUUUCCACAGACACACAACAGCUGUUCGAAAAAAAUACUAUGGUCUUAUGAAAAUAAUCCUUGAUCUUAAUUGCUCUUCAAUACCAGAAUACAGUCAAGUAAUAUAGUGUCGGCAUGUCUUCAUAUAGAUACUGUAUAUGAUGGAUUGAAAGUAAGUUACAUUUGAGAAAAGUGAGGAUAUUAUGCAAACAAAAGCUCUAGGACCUAUAAAGGUAGAGUAAAUUCAAUUAUUUCACAGAUAUUUUCAGUUGUCCAUUGGCACUGACCAGUGGCUAGCCCCAGCCCUAUGGAGUGAAGCCAGGCAUAGUAAUCAUUCUUCAGUAAUCAGAGCUCACUGGACUGUCUCCUGGACCUUGCCUGAUAGACUAGAUCAAUGUCCUGUCAGAUCCUACCCUUCAAUAUUCCACGUAACUGGGCUCUCCACAGCCCAGGCCCCACAACACAGGAAUGACCUGCCAUCUCACAAUAUCCAGUCUCCACUAGUAUUUACCUGCCGUUUCAUAGGUGGCAAUUGAAAUCAAUUCAACAUAAUUGAUAAUUACCUGGUGUCACAUCGGUAUCUAGAGGUGUUUUUAUAGGAUGAGACUAUAUUUACUUCAAAGACAAGUCAUUGUAGGCCUCGCAAAUCUUGUAUCCAUAUAUUUAUGUAUGGCUCUGGUAUGGCUCUGGUAUUGGGCUUCAAAAUGUGGGUUUUCAAUAUGUUUCCAUAACUACUGUAUGUACAAUUAGACUGGUGCAGACAAAACACAUGAUUUUCACACAAAGUCAUUAACUUGCAGCAAUUUUAACUUGCAACCUUUCAAGCUUAUACUAAAGGUGGCAAUACAUUUACUGAGGCUUAUAAUUGUUUGUCAAUAAAGAAUGAUACCAACAUAGCUCCAGUAGUUUGUGGAGGUAUAUUUUCAACUCUAAUUUGUUGAAUUAGCAUUCAUGAUUAUAUAUAGAUAUAGGACCUUAAUUUGAUAACCCUG
ensembl:lncRNA